GAUACCUUCGAAACAUUUGAUGAUUGUAAAUUCUCUAACGGCCGUUUUCAAUAACGUAUCUGAGUUUUCGGAUAGAUAGCUAUCUCCGAAUAUCAGCAAGAGCGUAUCUGUCCUUAGUUUGCGUUUCACAAUCACGGAUAAGUGCUAUCUCUCUUUAACCAACAGUAGAUAGCUUCUUCCCUCCGAUUUAUCCGAGCCUCUUGAUACGUUUCGUUCUACUACAAAUACGAAACAACAUCAGGAUCAAGACUUAUUUUAUUUUAUUCUAAAUUAUAACUAUAAUUUAACCAGCAUAUUGUAGACUAUCAUAAACACAUUUGUUUAUAACAAAAAGUAAUAAAAACAUAUGUAGAUUUUUUUUUAAUUGGACGUAUUGCUAUUGUUAUCCUAGUCGAAAUUAUGAAACGAAACGUUUUGACAGUCCGUUUGCCAAUAAGCAGUGAUCAGUUUCUUUUGUUUGUUUUUCUAUUGUUUACCUACUAUAUUAGAUGAUGACUUACCUCCAAAACGCUUUAAAACUUUUGUUUAUAAUUCUAAGUGUGUUUAUAAUUAAAGAGCUACAGUGAAAUAAAAUGAAUUCUGUAAGUAUCUAUGAACUACAUUGAUAAUAAUAAUUUUACUUUGAAAACUUUGAGUUCAAGUUUAGAAAAUAUAUCUUUUUCAGUCAAGAAAGGCAGCACCCAUGACAAAAGAUGAGACGAUGAUUCUAGCAGAACUUGUGGCGGCGAACAAACAUUUCAAUAAUAAGGCAACAAAUGCCACAAACAAUAAAUUGAAGGAGCAGGCUUGGCAAACCCUUGUAAAUGAUUUUAAUUCGUCGAUUCGUCGUUUCCCACGAACUCCAUCGCAGCUUCGACUAAAAUGGGAAAACUUAAAGAACGCUACGGCAACAUAAGAAACAACCUUAGUAAGGCUGGAGGUGGUAAGGAUUGCAGAUGAAAUUUUGGAUAAAGCAUGCACAUUGUUGUAGGUCACAUAUAAUAUUUUUAACACUUUUACAGCCAAGCGGAAACAAGAUGGAAGAAAAGAAAUGCAAGGCUAGCAUAGGGACAAUGCAUUAGCAGAAUAUCUAAUAGCAAAAAAGAGACUUGACUUGGAAAAUAAAGAAAAGGAGAUUGUUGUAGCAAAAGUUAAGUUAGAUUUAGAUAAUUUAAAAAAUUAAAAAUUACUUAAAAGGAAUAUUAAAUUUCAUAAAUUAAGUAGGCAAUAAUAAUUUUAUGUUAGAUAGUUUUUUAAGUAUAUGUACAAAUUCUAAAUUAAAUAUCUUGCAUGUACUAACUACCAUGUAAUUAUCAUUUUGGAAAAUAAAAAAUAGUCAAAUUA